rnacentral:rRNA from 1 species
UGGGGAAUAUUGGGCAAUGGAGGAAACUCUGACCCAGCAACGCCGCGUGAGUGAAGAAGGUUUUCGGAUUGUAAAACUCUGUGAUUGGGGACGAAAAAAAUGACGGUACCCAAAGAGGAAGCCACGGCAAACUACGUGCCAGCAGCCGCGGUAAUACGUAGGUGGCAAGCGUUGUCCGGAAUGACUGGGCGUAAAGGGUGCGUAGGUGGUUUAUCAAGUUGGAAGUGAAAUCCCGAGGCUCAACCUCGGAACUACUCCCAAAACUGAUGAACUUGAGUGCAGGAGAGGUAAGUGGAAUUCCUAGUGUAGCGGUGGAAUGCGUAGAUAUUAGGAGGAACAUCAGAGGCGAAGGCGACUUACUGGACUGUAACUGACACUGAGGCACGAAAGCGUGGGGAGCAAACA